rnacentral:rRNA from 1 species
GACGAACGCUGGCGGCGUGCUUAACACAUGCAAGUCGAACGGAAAGGCCCUGCUUUUGUGGGGUGCUCGAGUGGCGAACGGGUGAGUAACACGUGAGUAACCUGCCCUUGACUGUGGGAUAACUUCAGGAAAAUGGGGCUAAUACCGGAGAGGAGCUCCUGCUGCAUGGUGGGGGUUGGAAAGUUUCGGCGGUUGGGGAUGGACUCGCGGCUUAUCAGCUUGUUGGUGGGGUAGUGGCUUACGAAGGCUUUGACGGGUAGCCGGCCUGGGAGGGUGACCGGCCACCUUGGGCCUGAGAUACGGCGCAGAAUCCUACGGGAGGCAGCAGUGGGGAAUAUUGCACAAUGGGCGGAAGCCUGAUGCAGAAACCCCGCGUGCGGGAUGACGGCCUUCGGGUUGUAAACCGCUUUCGCCUGUGACGAAGCGUGAGUGACGGUAAUGGGUAAAGAAGCACCGGCUAACUACGUG